CGCUAGCUACAGGCUUAACACAUGCAAGUCCCCUUGAAGCGGGAAGAAAGCUUGCUUUCUUUGCCGGCGACCGGCGCACGGGUGAGUAACACGUAUCCAACCUGCCCUUUACUCGGGGAUAGCCUUUCGAAAGAAAGAUUAAUACCCGAUAGCAUAAUGAUUCCGCAUGGUUUCAUUAUUAAAGGAUUCCGGUAAAGGAUGGGGAUGCGUUCCAUUAGGUUGUUGGUGAGGUAACGGCUCACCAAGCCUUCGAUGGAUAGGGGUUCUGAGAGGAAGGUCCCCCACAUUGGAACUGAGACACGGUCCAAACUCCUACGGGAGGCAGCAGUGAGGAAUAUUGGUCAAUGGGCGCUAGCCUGAACCAGCCAAGUAGCGUGAAGGAUGAAGGCUCUAUGGGUCGUAAACUUCUUUUAUAUAAGAAUAAAGUGCAGUAUGUAUACUGUUUUGUAUGUAUUAUAUGAAUAAGGAUCGGCUAACUCCGUGCCAGCAGCCGCGGUAAUACGGAGGAUCCGAGCGUUAUCCGGAUUUAUUGGGUUUAAAGGGAGCGUAGGUGGACUGGUAAGUCAGUUGUGAAAGUUUGCGGCUCAACCGUAAAAUUGCAGUUGAUACUGUCAGUCUUGAGUACAGUAGAGGUGGGCGGAAUUCGUGGUGUAGCGGUGAAAUGCUUAGAUAUCACGAAGAACUCCGAUUGCGAAGGCAGCUCACUGGACUGCAACUGACACUGAUGCUCGAAAGUGUGGGUAUCAAACAGGAUUAGAUACCCUGGUAGUCCACACAGUAAACGAUGAAUACUCGCUGUUUGCGAUAUACAGUAAGCGGCCAAGCGAAAGCAUUAAGUAUUCCACCUGGGGAGUACGCCGGCAACGGUGAAACUCAAAGGAAUUGACGGGGGCCCGCACAAGCGGAGGAACAUGUGGUUUAAUUCGAUGAUACGCGAGGAACCUUACCCGGGCUUAAAUUGCAGUGGAAUGAUGUGGAAACAUGUCAGUGAGCAAUCACCGCUGUGAAGGUGCUGCAUGGUUGUCGUCAGCUCGUGCCGUGAGGUGUCGGCUUAAGUGCCAUAACGAGCGCAACCCUUAUCUUCAGUUACUAACAGGUCAUGCUGAGGACUCUGGAGGGACUGCCGUCGUAAGAUGUGAGGAAGGUGGGGAUGACGUCAAAUCAGCACGGCCCUUACGUCCGGGGCUACACACGUGUUACAAUGGGGGGUACAGAAGGCAGCUAGCGGGUGACCGUAUGCUAAUCCCAAAAGCCUCUCUCAGUUCGGAUCGAAGUCUGCAACCCGACUUCGUGAAGCUGGAUUCGCUAGUAAUCGCGCAUCAGCCACGGCGCGGUGAAUACGUUCCCGGGCCUUGUACACACCGCCCGUCAAGCCAUGGGAGCCGGGGGUACCAGAAGUACGUAACCGCAAGGAUCGUCCUAGGGUA
rnacentral:rRNA from 1 species